UAUAUCUUAGUAUAUGAUGUAUUUGGGUUUUUGAUACUUAAGGAAAUAGUUUAAUUCUAUUAGUUAUAA
rnacentral:tRNA from 1 species